rnacentral:rRNA from 1 species
GACGAACGCUGGCGGCGUGCUUAACACAUGCAAGUCGAACGGAAAGGCCCUGCUUGUGUGGGGUGCUCGAGUGGCGAACGGGUGAGUAACACGUGAGUAACCUGCCCUUGACUUUGGGAUAACUUCAGGAAACUGGGGCUAAUACCGGAUAGGAGCUCCUGCUGCAGGGUGGGGGUUGGAAAGUUUCGGCGGUUGGGGAUGGACUCGCGGCUGAUCAGCUUGUUGGUGGGGUAGUGGCUUACCAAGGCUUGGACGGGUAGCCGGCCUGAGAGGGUGACCGGCCACAAUGGGCCUGAGAUACGGCCCAGUCUCCUACGGGAGGCAGCAGUGGGGAAUAUUGCACAAUGGGCGCACGCCUGAUGCAGCAACGCCGCGUGCGUGAUGACGGCCUUCGGGUUGUAAACCGCUUUCGCCUGUGACGAAGCGUGAGUGACGGUACUGGGUAAAGAAGCACCGGCUAACUACGUG